GUGAGGAAUAUUGCGCAAUGGAGGCAACUCUGACGCAGCCAUGCCGCGUGCAGGAAGAAGGCGCUACGCGUUGUAAACUGCUUUUAACCGGGAAGAAACCCCAGGACUUGUCCUGGGUUGACGGUACCGGAGGAAUAAGCACCGGCUAACUUCGUGCCAGCAGCCGCGGUAAUACGAAGGGUGCAAGCGUUAUCCGGAUUCAUUGGGUUUAAAGGGUGCGUAGGCGGAUCGUUAAGUCAGUGGUGAAAUCCUGCAGCUUAACUGUAGACUUGCCAUUGAUACUGGCGCUCUUGAGUGCGCUUGAAGUGGGCGGAAUGUGCCGUGUAGCGGUGAAAUGCUUAGAUAUGGCACAGAACACCAAUUGCGAAGGCAGCUCACUAAGGCGAUACUGACGCUGAGGCACGAAAGCGUGGGGAUCGAACAGGAUUAGAAACCCUAGUAGUCC
rnacentral:rRNA from 1 species